rnacentral:rRNA from 1 species
UACGUAGGUGGCAAGCGUUGUCCGGAUUUACUGGGUGUAAAGAGCGUGUAGGCGGAGAAGCAAGUCAGAAGUGAAAUCCAUGGGCUUAACCCAUGAACUGCUUUUGAAACUGUUUCCCUUGAGUAUCGGAGAGGCAGGCGGAAUUCCUAGUGUAGCGGUGAAAUGCGUAGAUAUUAGGAGGAACACCAGUGGCGAAGGCGGCCUGCUGGACGACAACUGACGCUGAGGCGCGAAAGCGUGGGGAGCAAACAGG